UACGUAGGUGGCGAGCGUUGUCCGGAUUUACUGGGCGUAAAGCGCGCGCAGGCGGUUCGUUAAGUCUGGUGUGAAAGCUCCCGGCUCAACUGGGAGAGGUCAUCGGAUACUGGCGGACUCGAGGGAUGCAGAGGAAGGUGGAAUUCCCGGUGUAGUGGUGAAAUGCGUAGAUAUGCGGAGGAACACCAGUGGCGAAGGCGGCCACCUGGACCGUCCCUGACGCUCAAACACGAAAGCUAGGGUAGCGAACGGG
rnacentral:rRNA from 1 species